rnacentral:tRNA from 1 species
GCCACCUUAGCUCAGUUGGUAGAGCACCGCUUUUGUAAAGCGGCUGUCCUCGGUUCGAGUCCGAGAGGUGGCUCCA